GUGUUUGUAGCUUAAUAGGAUAGAGUAUCAUACUACGAAUUUGAUGGAUGAAAGUUCAAUUCUUUCCAAACACA
rnacentral:tRNA from 1 species